UACGUAGGUGGCAAGCGUUGUCCGGAAUUACUGGGUGUAAAGGGAGCGCAGGCGGGAAGCCAAGUCAGCUGUGAAAACUACGGGCUUAACUUGUAGACUGCAGUUGAAACUGGUUUUCUUGAGUGAAGUAGAGGUUGGCGGAAUUCCGAGUGUAGCGGUGAAAUGCGUAGAUAUUCGGAGGAACACCGGUGGCGAAGGCGGCCAACUGGGCUUUAACUGACGCUGAGGCUCGAAAGUGUGGGGAGCGAACAGG
rnacentral:rRNA from 1 species